rnacentral:rRNA from 4 species
UACGAAGGGGGCUAGCGUUGUUCGGAUUUACUGGGCGUAAAGCGCACGUAGGCGGACUUUUAAGUCAGGGGUGAAAUCCCAGAGCUCAACUCUGGAACUGCCUUUGAUACUGGAAGUCUUGAGUAUGGUAGAGGUGAGUGGAAUUCCGAGUGUAGAGGUGAAAUUCGUAGAUAUUCGGAGGAACACCAGUGGCGAAGGCGGCUCACUGGACCAUUACUGACGCUGAGGUGCGAAAGCGUGGGGAGCAAACAGG